AUACUUACCUGGCAGGCUGGUUUUCCCAGGGUUAGGCUUAUCCAUUGCACUCUGGAUGUGCUGACACCCAUGAUUUCCCCAAAUGUGGGUAACUCGAUUGCAAACCUUGUGGUAGUGGGGGACUACAUUCUUGCUCUUCCAAU
rnacentral:snRNA from 1 species